ensembl:misc_RNA Metazoa_SRP Metazoan signal recognition particle RNA
UCUGGGUGUGGUGGUGCACGCCUGUAAUCCCAGCUACUUGGGAGGCUGAGGCAUGAGAAUCGCUUGAACCCAGGAGGCAGAGGUUGCAGUGAGCCGAGAUCACGCCACUGCACUCCAGCCUGGGUAACAGAGCGAGACUCUGUCUCAA